AAUGCAUUUAAUAUAACUGGAAAAUGAAAUACGCCAUUUUAUAAUGCAAAAUCCUUUAGAAACUGCUAUAUCACCUAUCUCUCUUGUAUUUGUUUGUAUGCGAUCUCCUUUACAUACUGUUGUUAAGUAAAUACAAUGGUAGUACUAUUCAGUCUCUGAUGCUAGACAAGAAUAAGAAAGGAGAUAGUUACAUGUAGGCAUACAAAAAAUAAAAGCAAAGUAAAUAUCAACAUAACAUUAAAGAAAUGAUUGCUAUGAUGAUGAGAAGCUUUGAUUUUCUGAUUCCAUAUAGAAUACAGUGGACAUUGUGACUCCAGAAACGCGAAACUUUGCUUUAUAGUAUUUGUAUAAAACAUCGGCAUUUUUUUUCUCUCUCUCUCACUCUCUUUUAUUUCUUUUACGUUGCAUAAAACUAUGACGUCAGGUUUCCUUAUUUCUUAGGAGAAUCUUCUGUGAACUAUUGUUUAUGUGAGCAAAUAAUACCUGCAUACAAUGUAACAAAUAUCUAAGUCUGAACUGAGAUAUACAACGCUGCUGAGCAUUGCUUAGAUACCGCUAUAUACCUCAUUAUUUUCUGACAGAAAAAAAAGAAACGAAAAGUAAUCUUCAUUUACUUCUUAGCAUUUUAUAAAAGUUAUUUAUACUCCGUAAAACUUCAGCAUGGGGUAUUUAUUCCAAAAUUUUUGCACAUCUAAAGAAUCCAUGUCAUGAAUAUCGCUUUUGAGCAAACAUUGUAGAAAAGAAGAAAAACAAGAAUGCCAUUUCUAGUAGGUGAUUCUAUUAUAAUUUCUGCUGAAUAAUCUAUUUCAAAAAUACGCAACUUGCACAUACGUUUCUUACAUAAAAUUUUAAUCGAACAUUCCCGAAAAAAAAAAAGUAAUAAUAAUGACAAUAACAUCG
rnacentral:lncRNA from 1 species